rnacentral:rRNA from 1 species
AGUUUGAUCAUGGCUCAGAACGAACGCUGGCGGCAGGCUUAACACAUGCAAGUCGAACGAAGUCUUCGGACUUAGUGGCAGACGGGUGAGUAACACGUGGGAAUCUACCUAUCGGUAAGGAACAGCACAUAGAAAUGUGUGCUAAUACCUUAUACGUCCUUCGGGAGAAAGAUUUAUCGCCGAUAGAUGAGCCCGCGCUUGAUUAGCUAGUUGGUGAGGUAAUGGCUCACCAAGGCGACGAUCAAUAGCUGGUCUGAGAGGAUGAUCAGCCACACUGGGACUGAGACACGGCCCAGACUCCUACGGGAGGCAGCAGUGGGGAAUAUUGGACAAUGGGCGCAAGCCUGAUCCAGCCAUGCCGCGUGAGUGAUGAAGGCCCUAGGGUUGUAAAGCUCUUUCAACGGUGAAGAUAAUGACGGUAACCGUAGAAGAAGCCCCGGCUAACUUCGUGCCAGCAGCCGCGGUAAUACGAAGGGGGCUAGCGUUGUUCGGAAUAACUGGGCGUAAAGCGCACGUAGGCGGAUUGGAAAGUUAGAGGUGAAAUCCCGGGGCUCAACCCCGGAACUGCCUUUAAAACUAUCAGUCUAGAGGUCGAGAGAGGUGAGUGGAAUUCCGAGUGUAGAGGUGAAAUUCGUAGAUAUUCGGAGGAACACCAGUGGC